CCUACGGGAGGCAGCAGUGGGGAAUAUUGCACAAUGGGGGAAACCCUGAUGCAGCGACGCCGCGUGAGUGAAGAAGUAUUUCGGUAUGUAAAGCACUAUCAGCAGGGAAGAAAAUGACGGUACCUGAUUAAGAAGCCACGGCGAACUACGUGCCAGCAGCCGCGGUAAUACGUAGGGGGCAAGCGUUAUCCGGAUUUACUGGGUGUAAAGGGAGCGUAGACGGCAGCACAAGUCUGGAGUGAAAUGCCGGGGCUUAACCCCGGAACUGCUUUGGAAACUGGGCAGCUAGAGUGCAGGAGAGGGAGGUAGAAGUCCUGGUGUAGCGGUGAAAUGCGUAGAGAUUAGGAGGAACACCAGUGGCGAAGGCGGCUUACUGGACGGUAACUGACGCUGAGGCGCGAAAGCGUGGGGAGCAAACAGGAUUAGAUACCCCGGUAGUC
rnacentral:rRNA from 1 species